UACAGAGGGUGCAAGCGUUUAAUCGAAAUUACUGGGCGUAAAGGGUGCGUAGGUGGUUAAAUAAGUUAGAUGUGAAAGUCCUGGGCUUAACCUGGGGAUUGCGUCUGAUACUGUUGAGCUAGAGUUCUGUAGAGGAAGGUGGAAUUUCCGGAGUAGCGGUGAAAUGCGUAGAGAUCCGGAAGAACACCAGUGGCGAAGGCGGCCCGCUGGGCAGUGGCUGACGCUGAGGCGCGACAGCGUGGGGGAGCAAACAGG
rnacentral:rRNA from 1 species